UACGGAGGAUCCAAGCGUUAUCCGGAAUCAUUGGGUUUAAAGGGUCCGUAGGCGGUUUGGUAAGUCAGUGGUGAAAGCCCAUCGCUCAACGGUGGAACGGCCAUUGAUACUGCCAGACUUGAAUUAUUAGGAAGUAACUAGAAUAUGUAGUGUAGCGGUGAAAUGCUUAGAGAUUACAUGGAAUACCAAUUGCGAAGGCAGGUUACUACUAAUGGAUUGACGCUGAUGGACGAAAGCGUGGGGUAGCGAACAGG
rnacentral:rRNA from 1 species